rnacentral:rRNA from 1 species
GUGGAUGCCUUGGCAGUUAGAGGCGAUGAAGGACGUGUAAGUCUGCGAAAAGCUGUGGUGAGCCGACAAAAUGCAUUUGAGCCACAGAUGUCCGAAUGGGGAAACCCACCUGUUUACAGGUAUCGUUACAUGAAUACAUAGUGUAACGAGGCGAACGAGGGGAACUGAAACAUCUAAGUACCCUUAGGAAAAGAAAUCAAACGAGAUUCCCCUAGUAGCGGCGAGCGAACGGGGAACAGCCCUUAAGCUGUUUAGUGUGUAGUGGAAUCCUUUGGGAAGAGGAGCGAUACAGGGUGAUAGCCCCGUACACGUAGCGUGCUUUACAGUGAAAUCGAGUAGGUCGGGACACGUGUUAUCUUGACUGAAUAUGGGGGGACCAUCCUCCAAGGCUAAAUACUCCUAACUGACCGAUAGUGAACCAGUACCGUGAGGGAAAGGCGAAAAGAACCCCUGUGAGGGGAGUGAAAUAGAACCUGAAACCGUAUACGUACAAGCAGUGGGAGCCCUUCGGGGUGACUGCGUACCUUUUGUAUAAUGGGUCAGCGACUUAUAUUUAGUAGCAAGGUUAAGCGAAUAGCGGAGCCGUAGCGAAAGCGAGUGUUAACUGCGCGUUGAGUUGCUAGGUAUAGACCCGAAACCCGGUGAUCUAGCCAUGAGCAGGUUGAAGGUUGAGUAACAUCAACUGGAGGACCGAACCCACUAACUUUGAAAAGUUAGGGGAUGACUUGUGGCUGGGGGUGAAAGGCCAAUCAAACCGGGAGAUAGCUGGUUCUCCCCGAAAUCUAUUUAGGUAGAGCCUCGGACGAAUUCCAUUGGGGGUAGAGCACUGUUAAGGCUAGGGGGUCAUCCCGACUUACCAACCCUUUGCAAACUCCGAAUACCAAUGAGAACUAUCCGGGAGACACACGGCGGGUGCUAACGUCCGUCGUGGAGAGGGAAACAACCCAGACCGCCAGCUAAGGUCCCAAAAUAUUGCUAAGUGGGAAACGAUGUGGGAAGGCAUAGACAGCUAGGAGGUUGGCUUAGAAGCAGCCACCCUUUAAAGAAAGCGUAAUAGCUCACUAGUCGAGUCGGCCUGCGCGGAAGAUGUAACGGGGCUAAGCAAUAUACCGAAGCUGCGGAUACGUGUUUACACGUAUGGUAGGGGAGCGUUGUGUAAGUGGAUGAAGGUGGAUUGAGAAGUCUGCUGGACAUAUCACAAGUGCGAAUGCUGACAUGAGUAACGAUAAUGGGAGUGAAAAACUCCCACGCCGGAAGACCAAGGUUUCCUGUCCCAUGCUAAUCAGGGCAGGGUAAGUCGGCCCCUAAGGCGAGGCAGAAAUGCGUAGUCGAUGGGAAACGGAUUAAUAUUUCCGUACUUAUAUAAUCAGUGAUGGAGGGACGGAGAAGGCUAGGCAAGCUUGGCGUUGGUUGUCCAAGUGAAAGCAAGUAGGCCGAGAAUUUAGGUAAAUCCGGAUUCUUAAAGCUGAGAUGCGAGACGAGCUACUACGGUAGUGAAGUUGUUGAUGCCCUGCUUCCAGGAAAAGCUUCUAAACUUAUGAUUAUAUGAACCGUACCCCAAACCGACACAGGUGGUCAGGUAGAGAAUACUAAGGCGCUUGAGAGAACUCGGGUGAAGGAACUCGGCAAAAUUGUACCGUAACUUCGGGAGAAGGUACGCCCUUGUUUGUGAUAGGACUUGCUCCUUGAGCAGAUGAGGGCCGCAGUGACCAGGUGGCUGGGACUGUUUAUUAAAAACACAGCACUCUGCUAACUCGCAAGAGGACGUAUAGGGUGUGACACCUGCCCGGUGCCGGAAGGUUAAUUGAUGGGGUUAGUCUUCGGACGAAGCUCUUGAUCGAA